rnacentral:rRNA from 1 species
AUUGGGGGAAGAACUAACAAGGAUUCCCCUAGUAACUGCGAGUGAAGCGGGAAAAGCUCAAAUUUAAAAUCUGAUAGUCUUAUGGCUGUCCGAGUUGUAAUCUAUAGAAGUGUUUUCCGCGCUGGUCCGUGUACAAGUCUCUUGGAACAAAGCAUCAUACAGGGUGAAAAUCCCGUCUUUGACACAGACUACCAGUGCUUAUGUGAUUCGCUCUCGAACAGUCAAGUUGUUUGGGAAUGCAGCUCAAAAUGGGUGGUAAAUUCCAUCUAAAGCUAAAUAUUGGCGAGAGACCGAUAGCGAACAAGUACCGUGAGGGAAAGAUGAAAAAAACUUUGGAAAGAGAGUUAAACAGUACGUGAAAUUGUUGAAAGGGAAACGCUUGAAGUCAGUCAAGUUGGCCAGAAAUCCACCUUGUCUUUUAUUUACUGGGUUUACUUUCUGGUUUGACGGGGCACCAUCUAUUUUGACUGUUGGAUAAAAGCUAAUAUUAAUUCAUCUUCGGAUGUGUAGCCUUUGGUUGUAUAAAACAGUUGGGAUUGAGGAACUCAAACACGCCUGUAAAGGCCGGGUCCCUUGGACCACGUACGUGCUUAGGAUGCUUGCAAAAUGGCUUUAAUCGACCCCGUCUUGAAACACGGACCAAGGAGUCUAACUUGCUCGCAAUUGUUUGGGUGGAAAACCCGACGCGCACAAUGAAAGUGAAAAGUUGAGAUCUUUGUCAUGGAGAGCAUCGACGCCCGCGCCCAGACCUUUUGCGACGGUUCCGCGGUAGAGUGUGUAUGUGCGCGACCCGAUCUAUGACGAUCUAUGCCUGAAUAGGGUGAAGCCAGAGGAAACUCUGGUGUAGGCUCGAUUCUAUCCUGACGUGCAAAUUCGAUCGUCUAGUUUAGUAUAGAGCGAAGACUAAUCCAACCAUCUAGUAGCUUGUUUCUUGCCCAGCUUCCCUCCGGAUGCAUUAUACUCAUAUCACAUUUUAGUGGAAAAGUGAAUGAUUAAAGCCUUGGGCGUUUGCAUACUA